UACGGGGGGAGCAAGCGUUGUUCGGAUUUACUGGGCGUAAAGGGCGCGUAGGCGGCCACCGCAAGUCGACUGUGAAAUCUCCGGGCUUAACCCGGAAAGGUCAGCCGAUACUGCGGGGCUAGAGUGCAGAAGGGGCAACUGGAAUUCUCGGUGUAGCGGUGAAAUGCGUAGAUAUCGAGAGGAACACCUGCGGCGAAGGCGGGUAGCUGGGCCGACACUGACGCUGAGGCGCGAAAGCCAGGGGAGCGAACGGG
rnacentral:rRNA from 1 species